AUGCCCCACCCUCACAGUGCUCCUAGACACGCCACCCUCGGACUUAAAAAGACUGCACACAGACUCCUACUCACCACAUCGGCCUUGGACCCAGCCUUUUAUAGACAGACCACAUCUCCACUCAACGCAAUCAUUCUCCAAAAAGCGUCCAGUGUUGAGGUCGGCUUCCUUCGGAAGCCCAGAGGACCCUCGGCCUCCGGAGUGGACGAGGCUCUGCUCCAAAUUCCCAUCAGCGGUCCGCCCAGGCGGGUGGACUUUCUCAGCCGCGCCCCCAGGAGCGAGGCUUUGAGGGCCGGAAUGGGAGGUGUGCCCUGAGCCGUCGUCUUGCAGACCCGGGCGAGGAUACACCUUCCUGGCUGCCGCUUUAACACGGGACCGGCGGCUGCAGCCAAGCCCACCCAGCCCGACCUCUUAGGCCGCAGCCGAGCGUCUCGCCUGGCCUCUGCCCUCCGGCCGCGCCCUCCCGGCCGCUAGCACCGCCGGCCGCUCUAGCUUCAGCUCUGGUGGCUCCGGGGCCCACCCCACGCGGUCCCGCUGCAGCAGCAGCAGCAGCCACAACCCGCAAGUCUUCCGGCGGGUUGUGAGCCCCGGACGCCGGCUCCGCCCACGGGGGCCGGCCACGGAGCCCGCCCUCUCCCGGGAAGCAGCGCGCGCCCUCGAACCCGGAAGCUGGAAGCCGCCGGAGCGCGCCCCCGAGGGCCGCCCGGAACCGUGGGUAUCGGCCACCCAGCCACACCGCCCCACGUUUCCUCACAGCGGUCCUUGGGAGACCUCCUUCAGCCCUUCCGGUGAAGCGCCUUCUCUGUCAUUCAUUCAUUAACUCAUUCAUUCAGUUAUCUAUCCUGAGCGUGUAAGAUCUACCCCCACAUUCUUAUAGGCCCUGAGUAUACAGCAGUUAGCAAAAUGCAGUUCUGCUUUCUUGGAACUUAAUUACAUUGAAAUUAUUGACAAUAACAAAUAGAAAAAUAAAUAGAUAAUACCCCAGGUGAUGGUGAGGACUAUGAAGAAAAGGAAAGCAGGGUGGGGAGAUGGUGGGCUAGGAUAUUUGUAUCAACCCACUGUAGAAAACAACAAUAAAAUUAAAUAAAAUUCUAGAAUGUGUGUGUGUGUGUGCGCGCGCGUGUGUGUGUGUAUACUUUUUUUUUUUUUUUUGAGACGGAGUUUCGCUCUUGUUGCCCAGGCUGGAGUGCAAUGGUGUAAUGUCGGCUCACCACAACCUCCGCCUCCUGUAUUCAAGCGAUUCUCCUGCCUCAGCCUCUGGAGUAGCUGGGAUUACAGGCAUGCACCACCAUGCCCAGCUAAUUUUGUAUUUUUAGUAGAGACGGGGUUUCUCCAUGUUAGUCAGGCUAGUCUCAAACUGCGGACCUCAAGUGAUUGAUCCGCCUUGGCCUCCCAAAGUGCUGGGAUUACAGGCGUGAACCACCGCACCUGGCAUAUAUAUAUAAUUAUUCUUGAGACAGAGUCUCUGUCCCCCAGGCUGGAGUGUAGUGGCAUGAUCUCCGCUCACUGCAACCUCCACCUCCCGGGUUCAAGCAAUUCUCCCUGCCUCAGCCUCCUGAGUAACUGGGAUUACAGGCGCCUGCCACUAAGCCUGGCUAAUUUUUGUAUUUUUAGUAGAGAUGGGGUUUCACCAUGUUGGCUAGGCUGGUCUCAAACUCCUGGCCUCAAGUGAUCCACCCACCUUGGCCUCCCAAAGUGCUGGGAUUACAGGCGUGAGCCACUGCGCCCAGCAGUAAUAUAUAUUUUUAAUGUUCUUAAAAGCGUGUUAUUAGUUUGCUAGGGCUGCCAUUAAAGAAAUCACUGAUUAGCUAAAACAACAGAAAUUUCUCACAGUUCUGGAGGCUAGAAAUCCAAGAUAAAGUGUGGGCAGGUUUGGUUUAUCUAAGGUCUAUCCCCUUGGCUUGCAGAUGGUCACCUUCUUUGUCUUCACAUGGUUUUGAGGUAGGAGAGCUGCAGGACUUAUUUCCCUGGUAGCUAAGGGAUGAAGUGUAAAAACCUGCAAGAACCAGCAGAUGGUGAGGAAAGAGGUCCCUAGCCACCCUCAUUGCUCAUUAUCAUAAAAUAUUCCCACUAGUGCCAAGACAGUUUACAAGCACCAUGGCAGUGACCUGGAAGUCACCGUCCCUUUCUGUGGCAAUGACCUGGAAACUAUAACCUUUCCCUAGAGAGUUCUAAAUAACCUACUCCUUAAUUUGCAUGUAAUUGAAAGUGGUUAUAAGUGAAUAUAAACACAGUUGCCCAAAGCCCACACAUUGCCAACUAUGGGUGCACGGCCUAUGAGUUAUCCCUGCUCCAGAAGGAACAGUACAGUUCAAUAAAAGAUUACUAACACCACCAACUCACCCUUGAAUUCUUUCCCCGGCAAAGGUAAGAAUUCUCCUAGGCUAAGCUCGGAUUUUGGCUUGCCUAUCUUGCAUCAGUUUCGUGUGUGUUGGCUUAGAGCACACCCUAAUGCUUCAUUUAAACUUCAUCUUAACUUCAUCACCUCUGUAAAGGCCCCAUUUCUGAACACAGUCAUAUUGGUUAGGGUCUUGUGAAUGGGUCUGUUGAGUCCGUAACAAGGCAUCUAACAUAUGAAAAGAUAGUAGGAGGUCCAUCACAGUGGCUCACACCUGUAGGCCUAACUACUUGGGAGGCUGACAUGGGAGGAUCACUUGGACCCAGGAGCUAGAGGCUGCAGUGAGCUAUGAUCGUGCCACUGCACUCCAGCCUGGGUGACAGAGCAAGACCCUGUCUCAGAAAAAAAAAAAAAAAAAAAAAGCCAGAAUCCAGGUAAGUAAUACAGCUUGGAAGCUGCUUUUGUCCUGAUGGCAUUUACCUAGAAGGAAAAUGAUAAUCGUCCUUUUCAACUUCAAAGAGGAAUAAAAUAAAACACGAUGAGCGGGGAGUAAAAUAGAAGACCCUUCUUACUGCCGGGUAUGGUGGCUUAUGCCUGUAAUCCCAGCACUUUGGGUGGCCAAGGUGGGCAGAUCACCUGAGGUUGGGAGUUUGAAACCAGCCUGACCAACAUGGAGAAACCCCAUCUCUACCCAAAAUACAAAAAUUAGCUGAGCAUGGUGGCACAUGCCUGUAAUCCCAGCUACUUGGGAGACUGAGGCAGGAGAAUCACUUGAACCCGGGAAGCGGAGGUUUCAGUGAGCCCAGAUUGUGCCAGCCUGGGCAACAAGAGCAAAACGCCAUCUCAAAAAAAAAAAAGAAGAAGAAGAAGAAGACCCUCCUUACAAUAACUGGGACCCCAGAGGGCAACAGCCUCGGGGUGAGGAUGAAUUGAAAAUGGAACAGCUUAAAAGGAAUUUACAGGCUGGAUCAAAUUGCCUGUCUCAAACAUGAUCUUAGUUUUAGACUGUCUCUGACUAUGGUGUCACCAGAUGCUUGGCAAAAGCAAAUAUGAAUCCUUUUUGGAGGAAAGCCUUAUAAUUGUAGGGCCCACAUUUUUCCUACAGGUAAGUUUUCAUAGACAAUGUCAAAUACAGAAUUAAAGGUACAGGUACACAAAGAAACUCGACUAUUUUAGUGAGAACCAGCAGAAACACAAACAUUGGAAACAGACCUGCAGAAAAAACUGCUUUUGGAAUUAAAAUAAUAUUUUCUUGGGUCGGACACAGUGGCUUAUGUCUAUAAUCCCAGCACUCUGGGAGGCCAAGGCAGUUGGAUCGCUUGAGUUCAGGAAUUCAAGACCAGCCUGGGCAACAUGGCAAAACCCAGUCUCUACAAAAUAUCAAAAAUUAGCCAGGCAUGGUGGCACAGGCCUGAAGUCCCAGCUCCUCAAGAGGCUGAGGUGGGAGGAUCGCUUAAGCCCAGUAGGUUGAUGCUGCAGUAAAUCACGGUGAUACCACUGCACUUCAGCCUGGGUGACAGAGCAAGACCCUGGCUUAAAAUAUAUGUAUAUUUUCUUGCUUAACUAUUAGAGUUUUUAGGAAAAAAAGUAAAAUAAAAUAAUAUUUUCUUUGUCCAAAGAAAUAAAAAAGAUAACUUGGACAAUUUUGUCAGGUACCCAAAAACUAUACAAAGUGAUACAGCAGAUUUAAAAGAGAAGUAAAUAGACUUCUAUUCUAUUCUAUGACUGAGAAAUACAGUAACUAAAUUAAGAACUCAGUUAAUGGCAGAUUAGACAUUGCUGAAUGGAGAAUAGAUUGAAA
ensembl:lncRNA